rnacentral:rRNA from 1 species
AGUGAACGCUGGCGGUAGGCCUAACACAUGCAAGUCGAACGGCAGCACAGUAAGAGCUUGCUCUUACGGGUGGCGAGUGGCGGACGGGUGAGGAAUACAUCGGAAUCUACUUUUUCGUGGGGGAUAACGUAGGGAAACUUACGCUAAUACCGCAUACGACCUACGGGUGAAAGCAGGGGAUCUUCGGACCUUGCGCGAUUGAAUGAGCCGAUGUCGGAUUAGCUAGUUGGCGGGGUAAAGGCCCACCAAGGCGACGAUCCGUAGCUGGUCUGAGAGGAUGAUCAGCCACACUGGAACUGAGACACGGUCCAGACUCCUACGGGAGGCAGCAGUGGGGAAUAUUGGGCAAUGGGCGCAAGCCUGAUCCAGCCAUACCGAGUGGGUGAAGAAGGCCUUCGGGUUGUAAAGCCCUUUUGUUGGGAAAGAAAAGCAGCAGGUUAAUACCCCGCUGUUCUGACGGUACCCAAAGAAUAAGCACCGGCUAACUUCGUG